GUAGGUGGCAAGCGUUGUCCGGGAAUUAUUGGGCGUAAAGCGCGCGCAGGCGGUUCUUUAAGUCUGAUGUGAAAGCCCACGGGCUCAACCGUGGAGGGUCAUUGGAAACUGGAGAACUUGAGUACAGAAGAGGAAAGCGGAAUUCCACGUGUAGCGGUGAAAUGCGUAGAGAUGUGGAGGAACACCAGUGGCGAAGGCGGCUUUCUGGUCUGUAACUGACGCUGAGGCGCGAAAGCGUGGGGAGCAAACAGGAUUAGAUACCCUGGUAGUCCACGCCGUAAACGAUGAGUGCUAAGUGUUAGGGGGUUUUCCGCCCCUUAGUGCUGCAGCUAACGCAUUAAGCACUCCGCCUGGGGAGUACGGCCGCAAGGCUG
rnacentral:rRNA from 1 species